rnacentral:rRNA from 1 species
AACGAACGCUGGCGGCAUGCCUAACACAUGCAAGUCGAACGAGACCUUCGGGUCUAGUGGCGCACGGGUGCGUCACGCGUGGGAACCUGCCCUUGGGCUCGGCAUAACUCCCCGAAAGGGGUGCUAAUACCGGAUAAUGUCUUCGGCCCAAAGAUUUAUCGCCUUUGGAUGGGCCCGCGUUGGAUUAGCUAGUUGGUAGGGUAAAAGCCUACCACGGCGACGAUCCAUAGCUGGUCUGAGAGGAUGAUCAGCGACACUGGGACUGAGACACGGCCCAGACUCCUACGGGAGGCAGCAGUGGGGAAUAUUGGACAAUGGGCGAAAGCCUGAUCCAGCAAUGCCGCGUGAGUGAUGAAGGCCUUAGGGUUGUAAAGCUCUUUUACCCGGGAUGAUAAUGACAGUACCGGGAGAAUAAGCUCCGGCUAACUCCGUG